rnacentral:RNase_P_RNA from 1 species
UGAGGCAGCUGAAUGGUCGCAUGCCUAUGGCAUGAGGAAAGUCCGAGCACCGCAGGGCAGGGUGCCAGCUAACGGCUGGUGGAGGCGACUCCAAGGCAAGUGCAACAGAGAGAUACCGCCGAGUAAUCGGUAAGGGUGGAAAGGUGCGGUAAGAGCGCACCGGCGGCCUGGCAACUUGACCGUCAUGUAAACCCCACUUGGUGCAAGAUAGAUGAAAGCGCAUGGGGCGGCCCGUCCCGCUUUCGUAAUCGCUUGAGCCUUCCGGCGACAGAAGGCCUAGAUAGAUGACCAUUCCAGACAGAACUCGGCUUACAGGCUGCGCUCAUCAU